UACGGAGGGUGCGAGCGUUGUCCGGAAUCACUGGGCGUAAAGGGCGCGUAGGCGGCGCGGGGAGUCAACGGUGAAAGCUCGGCGCUCAACGCCGAGUCGGCCGUCGAUACUCCCGUGCUUGAGCACUGUAGAGGCAGGUGGAAUUCCGGGUGUAGCGGUGGAAUGCGUAGAGAUCCGGAGGAACACCGGUGGCGAAGGCGGAUCUCUGGGCCGAUACUGACGCUGAGGAGCGAAAGCGUGGGGAGCGAACAGG
rnacentral:rRNA from 1 species